rnacentral:rRNA from 1 species
GACGAACGCUGGCGGCGUGCUUAACACAUGCAAGUCGAACGGAAAGGCCCUGCUUUUGUGGGUUGCUCGAUUGGCGAACGGGUGAGUAACACGUGAGUAACCUGCCCUUGACUUUGGGAUAACUUCAGGAAACUGGGGCUAAUACCGGAUAGGAGCUCCUGCUGCAUGGUGGGGGUUGGAAAGUUUCGGCGGUUGGGGAUGGACUCGCGGCUUAUCAGCUUGUUGGUGGGGUAGUGGCUUACCAAGGCUUUGACGGGUAGCCGGCCUGAGAGGGUGACCGGCCACAUUGGGACUGAGAUACGGACCAGACGCCUACGGGAGGCAGAAGGGGGGAAUAUUGCACAAUGGGCGGAAGCCUGAGGCAGCAACGCCGCGUGCGGGAUGACGGCCUUCGGGUUGUAAACAGCUUUCGCCUGUGACGAAGAGUGAGUGACGGUAAUGGGUAAAGAAGCACCGGCUAACUACGUG